rnacentral:rRNA from 1 species
CCUACGGGUGGCUGCAGUGAGGAAUAUUGGUCAAUGGACGCGAGUCUGAACCAGCCAAGCCGCGUGCGGGAAGACGGCUCUAUGGGUUGUAAACUGCUUUUGUCCGGGGGUAAACGCAGAUACGUGUAUCUGUCUGAAAGUAUCCUACGAAUAAGGAUCGGCUAACUCCGUGCCCGCAGCCGCGGUAAUACGGAGGAUUCAAGCGUUAUCCGGAUUUAUUGGGUGUAAAGGGGGCGUAGGCGGUCGGAUAAGGUAGAGGUGAAAUACCGGGGCUCAACUUCGGAAUUGCCUCUGAUACUGGUAGCCUAGAGAGUAGUUGAGGUAGGCGGAAUGCAUGGUGUAGCGGUGAAAUGCUUAGAGAUCAUACAGAACACCGAUUGCGAAGGCAGCUUACCAAGCUACUUCUGACGUUGAGGCACGAAAGCGUGGGGAGCAAACAGGAUUAGAUACCCGAGUAGUC